rnacentral:rRNA from 1 species
UACGUAGGGCGCAAGCGUUGUCCGGAAUUCUUGGGCGUAAAGAGCUCGUAGGCGGUUUGUCGCGUCUGCUGUGAAAACCUCAGGCUCAACCUGGGGCUUGCAGUGGGUACGGGCAGACUAGAGUGCGGUAGGGGUGACUGGAAUUCCUGGUGUAGCGGUGGAAUGCGCAGAUAUCAGGAGGAACACCGAUGGCGAAGGCAGGUCACUGGGCCGCAACUGACGCUGAGGAGCGAAAGCGUGGGGAGCGAACAGG